CCAAGGAGGAGGCUGCUGUUCAAGUGGGAAGUGAUGAGGUCCUGGCCCAGGGAGAGGAAAUGAUGGUGCACACACAUGGGAUGUGUGCGUGAUGAAGGGUUAGAUGUUAUGAUUUAUCUCAGAGGCCUGGCUGGCCUAGUCCUACCUCUGAUUGGUAGCCUCGUAGUUGGGCUGAAUGGGGUCUUCGGUCCCCUGGUGCCGAGCCACCUCUCUCUCCUUGUCCAGAUACGCCCCUCGGACCAACUUGACUCCGAAGGCCCGGCCAGCCCUGUCAGCGGCCUCCGCGGCCCGCCUCAGCCGCUCGUGUGUGUCCUGGCGAAGCACCCCGGCAGCUUGGGGUCAGGGCCCCGGGGCGCCAGCCCGCAGUCCCCCACGGUGCACCACACACCUUCAGAUAGGCCUGUUGAUAAUGGCAUCUACCUCGUGGAGUUGCUGUGUGGACCUGUAAGACGUGCCUGGACGUAAGAAUGGGACGGGGCGAGCCCGUGAUAAGCAUUCAAAACAUGCUGUUGUCAUGAUGAUAAUAAGCGACUUCCUAUAUAUAAUCUUCACAAUGAUCCUGGUGGACAGUUACUCCAAACCCUGUUCUGCAGCGAGGAGACUAAUGCUCCAUGAGUGAAGACUAGGAAUUAACACGUAGGAAGUGAGCAGGGGCUAGCUCGUAGUGGGUGCGACAAGUGUCACCUGCUAUUGGGUGUCUUAGGACCUCAAUACCUUCCUCUAGGGCCAGAGCCUCAUUGCGUCAUUGCAGCCCACGAGGCUUCCCCCAUCGGGCCCCUCUGCUCUCAUCUCCUCGGCUCUCCGGAGCCCCCUGCCCUCCAGCCACGCUGGCCUCCCUGCCAGUCCUUCAACAUGUCCAGCACCUUCCAGCCUCAGGGCCUUUGCUUGGCUGCUCCUGCCUGGAACACUCUUCCCCUCCAUGUCCUCUUGCCUCACUCCUGCCUCUCCUCCGGGUGUUUUUCUUAAUGUCAUCUUCUCAGCGAGGUUUUCCGUGGCUCAGAUUUGCAACUCCCUGUCUGGGGCUCUUGCCUUCUCCUUCCCUAGCCUUAUUUCCCCCCCUGCAACGCCUAUUUAUACUUGUACAUCUUGGCUUUGGUCUUGCCUCUCCCCGACUAGCAAGUAAGUGCCUCAGGGACUAGGAGUUCAUCUCCAUCAUCAUUUCGUCCAGCCCUGGAGGAACACGGUGGAAAUAAUCGUUGUCCCCCAACUCUUGUUCUUAUUGUGGAGAUUCUAAGGGUGGAUGUGAACUGCUGGCCACUCAAGGAGUCAGCUGGGUUCAAAGAAAUUAGGAAGCUAAAGAAGGAGGAGCAGGUGGGACUUAGUUCUACCCAGAUCCAACAGAGUCCAGAUGGAGACUGGGUGGGGGGGCUGGGUCUGCUAAUGGGAGGCCCCCGGGAUCAGGCCGUGAGAAGGUGGCAAACACCACCCUGCCCUCGGCUUAGUGGAGAAACCUUCCAGAAGGAGGCACCUGCCCAGUUACCUUUUCCUCUUCCCCUGACUGGGGGCAGAGUCUUGGGGAAGUCCUGGGGAGUUAGUAGCUGGUGAAACUGCCUGCAUAUGAUGGCCACCCUCAGACAGGGCCUACUGGGUGCCCGGUGCUAUUUGGGGUACCUCACCUAAUAUUUAACUCACCCGGUCUUUGCCUCCCUCUGAGCCAAGGACUGAGACAGGGGAUGGGGGGCUGUCGCUGAGAUGGAGACAGGAAGGGGAGCGGGUCUGGGGAGACACGGAAGCCAGGGUGGGAUCUGGUAGGUAUGGGCGGUCUGGAGGAUGUCCAGGGGCUCAGGGGAGAGGCUGGGGCUGGAGACAGAUGUGGGCCUCACUAGUACCCAGGGGAGAAACUGAGGCUGCAGCGUGGGUGAAGAAGGUCCCAUGGAGGGGAGGAAGGAGUGAGGAGGGGGGAGCCUCCGUAUUGAAGAGACCAGCAGAGAAGAACCUAACAUGGUUUGAGAACCAGCUGGCUGAGAUGGAAAAGGAAAACCAGGUAUUAGAGAAGCCAAGGAAAUCAUGUGACGAGAGGCCGAGGAAGGCCCCUCUGUUCCUCGGGGGAUCGGAUGCCAGCCAAGCAGGGGCUUUAUUCCUUAAAACCGCCCUGGGAAGAAGUUGCUCCCACUGUCCGUGAUACUCCAGAGCUGAUUCUCUGAAACACCCGAGUCCUGCUUCUAUGUGUCCUGUGACGCUUUUUUCAAAAUGCCAAUUUUUUUAAAAUGUGAAAGAGACACCACAUCGCCCACAGCAUUGUUUGUGGUGGUGGAGACUCAGAGGCGCCCUCGCCGUGUCCAUCCUGGGAGACGUGAGCUGCGUGGCGAGGAGCAGCAGGUAGAGGCCACGGAUUAGAUGCACACAAAGACUCUUGGACGGAUCUUAAAAUCAGAGUGCUCAGUGGAAAAAGUGAAAAAUGGAAAGAGAUAGGUAACAAUGCUAUUUGUGUACAUCUAAAAUUACACCCUCAGGUUGAUGGGGAAGAGCAUGCCAGAACUUUCUGCAGUGAUGAAAAUCUUCUGUGCCUUGAUAGACUUGAAUUGCUCAGGUGUGUGUAUUUGUCAAAUCCACAAAUAGAUACAAUCACCAAUAGAUACAUUUACAAUCUGCACAUUUCACCGUAUAUACAUUUUUCCUCGAAAGAAAUAAAAUACUAUAAAUAAUUAUCAAGCUCGAAUUGGUGAUACGUAUCCCGAAACAUUCGGAGGGCCCUGUGCUGAUGCCUGCAACUUAUUUUGAAAUGCAUUGAAAAAUAAAAUGGAUCGGUGGACAAACGGAAAAAUGGAUGGAGGGACUGAUAUGAUUCCAAGCAGGUAAAGUUAAAUGUUAACAGUGGCUGGUAUAUGGGUGUUCACUGUAAGAUUCUCUCGACUUUUCCGUAUGUUUGAAGGUUUUCAUAAUAAAAUGUUGGGGAAAUAUGUCCCCCUGAACAGUGUACUUGCCAAAACAAUAACAAAGAGAAAUACAUUAUGCAGGGUCAAGGGGGUGUCAAUGGCAAGGAAAGUAGAAAUAGUAAAUGGAAAUGAAAUGAAUGAAUGAAUGAAUGAAUGAAUGAUUAAACCAAAACCCCACUGGCCUAAUCAUAACUUCCAGUCAUAGCUGAGUUGAUUGACCAAAUACUGAUUAGUUUCUUCUGGUUGGGGAAGAGCUACUCUCUCACCCCCGCCUCUGAGAACUCCCAGCCCGCAGCCCCCUCGCCUAGGUCCCCCAGGUGGCCCAUAUAUUCCGUCCAUGCCAACCACGGCCCGGGCUAUAGCCACGUUUAUUCCAAUUGUUCUAAGGCUGGGAAGUAGCAGUAGUUGCAUGGUUCAGACACGCCGCUUGCAGGUGGCUGCUACAUCCUAGUACAGAGGACUCUGCUCCCGCCCCACAGUCCCCACCAACCAUCCAGACAGCCUGGGCUCCUUACCUGCCCAGAGUCCAUGGCUUCUGCCAGCCUCUCGGGGCUCAGCUCCAAGGAAGCCCCCGGUUUUCUGAUCCAGGAGGUUAGCUCCUUCUGGAAUGGGGCGGUGGGUGGAGGGGUGAGGGGGACCUGGUGGGCAGCUGUAGCCUCCCUCCCCAUCCUGCCCGUCCCUUACACAGAGCCGAGUACUGGUCAGCGCCGUCAUCUUCAGCUGCAUAAGGAUGUUCCCAGUCGGGCUGGGGGUCUCCAGGACGCCUCGUGACAUGUCCACGCACCGAAGCAUAGCACUGAGGUUCCCCUCAUACCAGGCCUCGCUGCCCAGCCAGCAGGCAUUAGCUUCCGGAGCCCACCAGCCCCCCUCCUGCCAACCUCCCCGCCUCCCCGGACCCGGCCCCUACUCACCCAGCCUUGACAGCUGAGUCUGGCUCCUCUUCGAUGGGUACCGCCAGCAGGGGUCGAAGGCCUAGGGUCUGGAGCUGUUGGACGCAGCCCUUCACCUCCUCUGCUGUCUCACCAGCCACAAACUGCCCGUAGAAGGAUGCUCGGAGAAACGCUCCCGAGAGCCGGGAGCCCAGGAGUCGCUGAGACCAGGCCUGGAGCUGGAGGGACAGAGAGGAAGGGCUCAGAGGCCAAGCCUCGGGGAUGCCCGAGGCCGAUCCCCAGGGGGCACCGCUCACCACCAGGCCGUGUGUGACCAGAGGGGGCCAGGCGCACAGCCGUAGCACCAGCAAAGCUCGUGUCAGUUCUCCUGUGCCUUUGAGAUGAAAAGCACCCCCAUCAAAGCUCAGGGGCUGCCAGCCCCCAGUGGAGGAUCCAGCCUGGGAACGGAGCACACGACAGGUCCGAAGCAUCGUGAAUCCCUGGCCACUUCUGCGGCGAGUAACGGGGCUCUGGGGGCGGGAGGUCUACCAAGUGCCCCUUGCCCGGCCAGGGCCAGUGAUUGAUUAACCAGGCAGUAGCUGGGGCAAGGCAAAUCUUUUAGGAUUGUGGGCUCCUUGGGGGUCAGUUAAUUAUUAACUGAUGAGGACAGAGUUCAGACUAAUGGGGUCAGGAAAUGAAACUCCCAGUCAUAGCCCCCAACAAUUCUUAGCUGCCCACCACGUAGCAGUGGGUGCUCUGGAGCAAGGAUCGCUGGGCUCAAGGCAAUUUGGUUUCAUGAUCUUGGCAAAGUUACUUAACUUCGCUGUUGCCGUUGCUUCAUCUUCGAAUGGGAAAGAUGACAGUGCUACUGAAUAAAUUUGAAAGUGCGCGGAACCUGUAACCCGGCUGUUCCAGGCUGAGCGUGCAUCUUCGAGAACUGGAACACGGCCAUCCGGGAACAUGUAGAGGAAGGAAUGUUCGUAGCCGCACGGUGUGGGAUGGCCACAAGCCACCCAAACCUCCACCAGCCAGAGAACGGAUUAGAUGCAGCGUGGUCUACAGUGGAAUGCUGCGUGGAAUACUAUACAGCAGCGAAAAAGAGGAGAGUCCUGGGGCAUACAACCACGUGGGGCAACCUCACGUGCAUAGCGGUGAGUGAACAAAGUGAACGAAACACCAAACGGCACAAGCUGCGUUAUUGUGUUCACUACUCUUGAGAGCAGGGAAAAAUGAAACCCCCUAGAUCCAAAAAUGUUAGGAAUAUGUACAUGCGUGGCCCAACCAUAAAGAAAAGACAAAAAAGGAAAUGACUAUCACCAAAGUCAGAGAGGUGGUCACCUCAGGCGAUGAGAGGAGCUAUAACUGGGUUGGGGCUCUUUGGGGGCUUCCCUGUCCUUUCUUCUUAACCUGAUGAUUCAUUGUUGUUCACAUUCUAAGUAUUUUUUUUUAAUGCCAUACAUCUACGUUUUCUACUCCUGAAUGUACAGUACAUUUCAAGAUAAAAUAAAGGUGAAACAUUAAUCAUA